rnacentral:rRNA from 1 species
CAUGCAAGUCGAACGGUGAAGCCAAGCUUGCUUGGUGGAUCAGUGGCGAACGGGUGAGUAACACGUGAGCAACCUGCCCUGGACUCUGGGAUAAGCGCUGGAAACGGCGUCUAAUACUGGAUAUGAGCCCCUAUCGCAUGGUGGGGGUUGGAAAGAUUUUUUGGUCUGGGAUGGGCUCGCGGCCUAUCAGCUUGUUGGUGAGGUAAUGGCUCACCAAGGCGUCGACGGGUAGCCGGCCUGAGAGGGUGACCGGCCACACUGGGACUGAGACACGGCCCAGACUCCUACGGGAGGCAGCAGUGGGGAAUAUUGCACAAUGGGCGAAAGCCUGAUGCAGCAACGCCGCGUGAGGGAUGACGGCCUUCGGGUUGUAAACCUCUUUUAGCAGGGAAGAAGCGAAAGUGACGGUACCUGCAGAAAAAGCGCCGGCUAACUACGUGCCAGCAGCCGCGGUAAUACGUAGGGCGCAAGCGUUAUCCGGAAUUAUUGGGCGUAAAGAGCUCGUAGGCGGUUUGUCGCGUCUGCUGUGAAAUCCCGAGGCUCAACCUCGGGCCUGCAGUGGGUACGGGCAGACUAGAGUGCGGUAGGGGAGAUUGGAAUUCCUGGUGUAGCGGUGGAAUGCGCAGAUAUCAGGAGGAACACCGAUGGCGAAGGCAGAUCUCUGGGCCGUAACUGACGCUGAGGAGCGAAAGGGUGGGGAGCAAACAGGCUUAGAUACCCUGGUAGUCCACCCCGUAAACGUUGGGAACUAGUUGUGG